rnacentral:ncRNA from 2 species
AGACAGUUUCGGGGCGGGGUGAGAUUCCCCACUGGCGGUGAUGGGCGCGAAGUUCGCCCGAGUCCGCGCGCCGCACAGAAAAGAGCGGCUGACCUGGUGAGAUCCCAGGACCAACGGUCAAAGUCCGGAUGAGAGAAACGAGGC